UACGUAGGGUGCGAGCGUUGUCCGGAUUUAUUGGGCGUAAAGAGCUCGUAGGCGGCUUGUCGCGUCGUCCGUGAAAACCUGCAGCUCAACUGCAGGCUUGCGGGCGAUACGGGCAGGCUAGAGUUCGGUAGGGGAGACUGGAAUUCCUGGUGUAGCGGUGAAAUGCGCAGAUAUCAGGAGGAACACCGGUGGCGAAGGCGGAUCUCUGGGCCUUACCUGACGCUGAGGCGCGAAAGCUAGGGGAGCAAACAGG
rnacentral:rRNA from 1 species